rnacentral:rRNA from 1 species
GAUGAACGCUAGCGGCAGGCUUAAUACAUGCAAGUCGAGGGGCAGCAUGAUUGUAGCAAUACAAUUGAUGGCGACCGGCAAACGGGUGCGGAACACGUACACAACCUUCCAACAAGUGGGGGAUAGCCCAGAGAAAUUUGGAUUAAUACCCCGUAACAUAGCGAUGUGGCACCACAUUGCUAUUAUAGAUUUUUCGCUUGUUGAUGGGUGCGGCUGAUUAGAUAGUUGGCGGGGUAACGGCCCACCAAGUCUACGAUCAGUAGCUGAUGUGAGAGCAUGAUCAGCCACACGGGCACUGAGACACGGGCCCGACUCCUACGGGAGGCAGCAGUAAGGAAUAUUGGACAAUGGACGCAAGUCUGAUCCAGCCAUGCCGCGUGAAGGAUUAAGGUCCUCUGGAUUGUAAACUUCUUUUAUAAGGGACGAAAAAAGGCUUUUCUAAGUCGUCUGACGGUACCUUAUGAAUAAGCACCGGCUAACUCCGUGCCAGCCGCCGCAGUAAUAC